AUCAUAUCAGCCUGCAGUAGGAGAUAGGUUUUUAACCACACCACCACCAGUGAAAUAGUUAUUUGCAUAUAGUAAUAUGAACACUGGAAAAAAGGGUUAGCAUAAAUAUGUCCUUGUUAUGCCAAGAGCUUUUGAUGAAUAAGACUAUACUGAUUCUACACACUAACACAGGUUCUGCAAGAUGUCUCCCAAUACCGAGUCUACAGACUAAACCAGGUGCUACAAGAUAUCUCUCAAUACUGAUUCCACA